rnacentral:rRNA from 1 species
UGCUUAACACAUGCAAGUCGAACGAUGAUCCGGUGCUUGCACCGGGGAUUAGUGGCGAACGGGUGAGUAACACGUGAGUAACCUGCCCUUGACUCUGGGAUAAGCCUGGGAAACCGGGUCUAAUACCGGAUAUGACCUGUCACCGCAUGGUGGUGGGUGGAAAGAUUUUUUGGUCUUGGAUGGACUCGCGGCCUAUCAGCUUGUUGGUGGGGUAAUGGCCUACCAAGGCGACGACGGGUAGCCGGCCUGAGAGGGUGACCGGCCACACUGGGACUGAGACACGGCCCAGACUCCUACGGGAGGCAGCAGUGGGGAAUAUUGCACAAUGGGCGCAAGCCUGAUGCAGCGACGCCGCGUGAGGGAUGAAUGCCUUCGGGUUGUAAACCUCUUUCAGCAGGGAAGAAGCGAAAGUGACGGUACCUGCAGAAGAAGCGCCGGCUAACUACGUGCCAGCAGCCGCGGUAAUACGUAGGGCGCAAGCGUUGUCCGGAAUUAUUGGGCGUAAAGAGCUCGUAGGCGGUUUGUCGCGUCUGCUGUGAAAGCCCGGGGCUCAACCCCGGGUCUGCAGUGGGUACGGGCAGACUAGAGUGCAGUAGGGGAGACUGGAAUUCCUGGUGUAGCGGUGAAAUGCGCAGAUAUCAGGAGGAACACCGAUGGCGAAGGCAGGUCUCUGGGCUGUAACUGACGCUGAGGAGCGAAAGCAUGGGGAGCGAACAGGAUUAGAUACCCUGGUAGUCCAUGCCGUAAACGUUGGGCACUAGGUGUGGGGGACAUUCCACGUUUUCCGCGCCGUAGCUAACGCAUUAAGUGCCCCGCCUGGGGAGUACGGCCGCAAGGCUAAAACUCAAAGGAAUUGACGGGGGCCCGCACAAGCGGCGGAGCAUGCGGAUUAAUUCGAUGCAACGCGAAGAACCUUACCAAGGCU